ACACACACACACACACACACACACACACACACACACACACUCACACACACACUCUCUGACUUCCUCCUUCAGUCCACGAGAUGUCCCCCGAGUUUUCUGCUUCUGCCUGAGCUCUCCCUAAUUAUUAUCUCAUUAGCUUUCAUGUUUUAAACUCCACUCCUCGGGUCGGCCGGAGCUGGAGUCUCUCUCUCUCUCUCUCUCUCUCUCUCUGUUUGGAGACUCGCCCUGCUUUCCUCUGCAGCUCCUCUAAAGCCCACGAGUGUUUGCAUUUAUUCUAUAUCAUCAGUCUGGUUGCAGCUUUUAUUGCCAAAUGUAACACACUCCCUCUCUCUCUCACACACACACACACACACAUCCUCCCUCUCUCUCUCUCUCUCUCUCUCAGCAGUCGCAGAGUGCCGCAGCCAGCAGACCGUGCCAUAACAGCGUGGAUGCUCUUUGGGCCCCGAGUCAGUGACUCACUCUGUUAUGUAAUUACGAUGUAUUAUGCAAAAGUGCCGGUGAACAUUUCUCAUGAUUUUUUGGUGAACUUCCUGUCCCCCCUCAGGCUCAGACGUGUGUGUGAGUGUCUGACUUUAUGUCUCACUCUGCGUUACAGGUACAAGACUGCACCAUCGAUAACCUGAAAUACAUCAGAUGGAGGAGAGGAGAGGAGAGGAGAGGAGAGGAGGAAGGAUGUUUCUGCUGAAUCAUUCAGACUUUUGACGCUUCUUCAAACCUCGUUUCAUUCCUGAAAUAAAACUUUUGUUUCUGCCUUCGCUGGAUUCGACGUUUUUAUUCGAGGAAGACUUUGUGAUUUCUGUAAAUAAACUCGGAGGUGAAGUUUGUUUGAGUCACGUAACUCUCACUCUGAGUCGGACACCUUCAGCAGGACAUGUUUUUAUAUUUCAUGACUAAUGCAGCGGGGCUUACUUUGAAAUAAUUAAAGAAGAAGAAGAAGAAGAAGAAGAAGACAGGGGGAGAUGCAGUUAUGUGGAAAAUACAGCUGAGCGUGUACUUCUCUUAAAGGUGCAGUACGUAGUUUUAAGCAGCAUUUAAAUUUUCGCAGUGGUCCCUAAAAAAAAUGGUCUUGAUGGUCAAAUUCGGAGGAUUAUUUCUAUGCAUCUUAAACUGGAGGGUUAAUGUCACUGAAGGGGUGAGUGAGGGAGCAUCUCAGUGUUACCCUGAAGGUGCAUUCACACCUGAGCUUUAAACAAACCCUUGAGCAACUUCCUGGAUAGUCUGGUUUGUUUGGAGGCUCCGUCGGUACCUGAUCCGUCCCGGAAACCUGAUUUGUACUGCGCAUGUGCGAAACAAACAUCACUUCCUUUUCUCACACACACUUUUCUCCUGAAUGGAGUGCGUCCCUCGACUAAAGCAGAGCGCCGGAAAUUCAAGAGAAUGGCGCCCAGUUUCACAAUUAAAGGUUCCUACUAAAGCUAAAUUGUAAAACUGCAAUGUAGUUAUAAAAGGCUUGAAUGAAUGUGAAUAUUUCACUGUUGAAAUUAAAACGCUGUAUAAAAACGCUGAAAUAAAUCCCCCCUUGAUACUUACGAAAGUCAGAGAACCAGUUUGCUAACUGGUGUCUGAAAUUGGUUGGUAGAUUAAAUAAAGUUAUUAAGGUAAAGUUAAUUUGCACUUGUGCAGUACGGAUCAGGUAGGUAGCAAUAGUAACGACUAACUACCGUUAAACGCAUUAAAAAAAUAUGAAGAGAGGAAGUGACGUACAUUUCGCACAGGUUUCCAAGACGGAUCGUGUAGCAACAGGCUCCUGUGUGGACCAAGCAAGAUGAUUCUGUUCCGCUUGAAAACACAGGUUAGGAAGUUUGAUCCGGAUUAAGACCUCUUCUACAUACUAAAGUUUAACUUUCUCGGCUUCACACUGAUCAGGAAGAUCUCUGCAGGCAAAGACGAAGUAUGACUAACACCGAUAAACAUAAAUCCAUACUUAUCAGUCUUCACUCAGCGGGAUUUUGUCUGUACUUAGAGGGCGGCUGUGAUCGAGCUUUUAGAGGAUGACCUUUUAGUUUUUUUUAACAUUUAAAACAGAUUCUUAAUUUAUAUUCAGGUGCAAAAACAACCGUGAGAGAGAAGCCUGAUGGGUACCUACAGUCUACAUGUAAAGAGUGACUUCAUUCAGAGGAUAACCUUUCAAAAUAAAAGCCUUAUAUGAGAGGAGUCUCUCUUGAGUAACCAGGUCAGGCUUUUACUCUGAAAAACAGAAGUGUCGUCCUAUUUUGUCCAAGUAUUAUCGAGCCUACAGAAGACAAAUCCUCUUCACUUUUGUCCGAUCUGAGACUAACUCUGAUCUGUGAACACACACAGGAUCUGAAAUCAAACCGAGCCAUCCCACUGAGGGUCGCGCCUCCUUCUCGAAUUUCUCGGAGGUGUACUGAGGGUGUGAAGUCACUCCGCUGAGCUGAGAUCAGAGGUGAAACAGGAAAAAGUGCGUCACUGUAAACGUCAGAGUCUGCAGGUGUGUGUGUGUGUGUGUGUGUGUGUGUGUGUGUGUGUGAGGCUCAUGCUGUUUGUUCAUGUCGGGACUCUCGUGCGUCCACAGCGGCGGUGUAAAAUCACUCACUGGGACACCGAUCUGGUCCUGCUGCUCCGUUUAGUGUAAAAAUACUAAAGCAGGUUGAUAGUGGAGCUUCGUUCAAACUUUGUUAUCUCUGUUUUUAAAAGUAGUUUUUAGUUUUUUAGUUUUGACAUUUUUGUUUGCUGGACUUUCAGUUUAGUUUGGUUUUUAUUUUCUGAAAAUUUUUACUUUUAGUUCUAGUUUUUUGUAACAUGGAUAUCCCCUAAAAAACUCAGAAACAUCAUCUUACUCAGCUCUUCGUCUUUAAGAAUCAACACUAAUGUUGAAGAUUAAUUAUAUAAACAAAAUGUCAGUGCAAUAAUUAUAUUUAUUUUUGGUGGAUAAGUUUAUGCAUCAUGCCCCCCCAUGCAGCAUUAGUGUUUGGGUUGGGCCCCCCCCAGUCUGAAUGGUUUGGACACGCCCCUGCUCAUUAAUUUGUUAAGAGCCGUAUUGACAGGUGCAAAAUGUCUUGUGUUUUAUGCCCGAGUGUUAAUAAUAAAACCUUCUGAACUGGCCCGAGUAAAUAAGCUAAAGGCUAAAGAGUGAAAAUUGUCAUGUUAGAGAGUCACGAUCAGAAUAAGUGUUUACAUGGAUGCGUUUCGAAAUAACGAUCGGCAUAAACCACCCCUCUUGAUCAGAUUACAAUUUCUUUCCGAUCGAGCUGAAUUGGAUCAGAAUCUACCAAUCGACAUGUUCACAUGACGGAUUUUUAUUCCGAUCAGACAUUUAUUCAGAUUAUUUGUUCCCACGUAAACAUGGCUACCGCUCUCUCUCCAGUUUGGAUCACCCAUCAGCGGCCCUCUCAUCCAGAGACAGUUGUAUUAAUUUCACAUGAAGCUAAAAACCCUCAGUGGAGCUUCAAGAACGAGGGCGAUGAAGGAUAAGACACCUCCAGAGCAAACAUCUGACAUGGAUCAGCGAUACUGAUCAGAAAGUAAUUACUGGAAACAACAAACAAACAUCCAAACGGCGAAUCCAUCCAUCCAUCAGUUUUCUACCGCUUAUUCCUGUUGGGGGUUGUAGGGGGACUGGAGCCUAUCCCAGCAUCUUCGGGUGAAGGCUGACUAUAUGACAGUGGAGCUAUUGAUUGAUAUUGGAAGAUAUUAAUGAUUCAUAACAAUAAAAAUUCACCAACCUAACCUAACCCCACUUCUGCAUGUUUUUGAGAUGUGGGAGGAAACCGGAGUAAACCCACACAGACACAGGGAGAACAUGCAAACUCCACACAGAAACGCCUGACCCAGAUUCGAACCCAGGACCUUCUUGCUGUGAGGCGACAGUGCUAACCACUACACCACUGUGCCGCCACAAACGAUGCAAAAGCUCGUGUGUGAAACGGUCCUACAGAGCGAUCACAGGUUCAUCUCCACACUCGGCGCGGUAAACACCACCGAUCAUCAUCUCUAUGCAAACAGAGGAGCCGGACUCUGACGUGACGCAGACGUGCAGAGAGGAGGAAACAGAACAUUUGUCUUCCUCUCUCUGAUCUUCAUCUGGAGUUUUAAUCACACCAUCAGUUCUGCUGCAGCGAGUUUCUGACGCCUCAUUUCCACAUCGCAGACGACAGAGAUGGAUGCCGAGUGUCUGUGUGAAACAAACAUGUGAGCACACAUGAGCGCCAGUGUGUGAAUGUGUGUGUGUGUGUGUGUGAUAGCUGCAGCCUGUUAGGGGUUAUCUCUGCAUGAUGUCUGCAGGCCAAACAGUCAGCUAAUCAGUCCCCAGGUGGAGAAACAAAGACGGGGGGACAGGUGAAGUUUGGAGCAGAGUUUGAACAAACCUUUAUUGACCAAUUAAAAAGUUUCGGUCUCUGCAGCAGGACACAUAAAAAACACAGCUGACAUUAAUACUGAGAGCAGCCUGACCUGCAGCGAAACAUCUGCAGCGGAACACAAACCUCUCUGAAACUGGUGCACCGGCCUUUAUGUGAUCCUGCACCGCCCUUUUCUCCACCUUUACAUGAGAGCGUUUCCCACAUGCUGCUGCACAGACUGAAGCUGCAGGUUGAUGCACAAAGAGCGGAGCGACUCGCACCCGAAUUCUCAUUAAAACCUGGAGUCAUGUGUCUCUAAUGCACAAACGCCGGAGUGGAAAUAAGAUUUUAUUUUUGCUCCAGCAGGUCUGAACUCUCACAGUAAAGGUCCAUCAGGUGGUUUCAAACUCAGGAGGGAGGAGGAGGAGGAGGAGUGUCGGCUCGUAUUUACAGAAAACAAAGACUUCGAUUCAGACUUCAGAGAAAAAAUACAUAAAAAAGAGGAGGAGGAGAAGGA